AGUGCUGGCAGCUGUGGGGAGCUCCUGGCGUUGUUGUUGCAGUGUCACUGACACUGACCUUCAGCACUGUGUCCAAUGGACUCGAGAGUUGUGGUUGUCACUGAUGACAUUCUCAUUGUCACUGCAUUGCCAGUGCUGUGUCCCCUUGAGCUGAUGCUGCCAUCAACAGCACUGCCGCUGAUCGCUCAGUGUCCCAGCGAUGUCCCUGUGUCACCUGGCCUGUGGGGACCUUGGCCUCACAGUGACGUUGUCAGUGAAUGGAAGCUCCUGACGAUUGAUUGAUGCAGAAUUCUGUAGUUUUGCCCUGUAUAGGGGAUCUGUGGGUUCUGGCACUGACUAAAGCCCUUUGGAGACAUAGCUGCAGCAAGGACACAGCUUUCACUAGGUGGGUGGCAGUGUGUUCACCCACGGCACUGUGGUCCCAGUGGUCUGAGCAAGGUCCCUUUUGUUGCCCCCCAUGUCCUUGGGCUGUGGUUGUGUCCUGUGCGUCCCUUCCUGCCAUAUGAAUGUCUCCAGCAUCUGGCCACUGUCCCCAAGCUGUGGCUAUGUCCUGUCACCCUAAGUGCCCCUUGGCCUUGUCCUUAGCUCUCUCCUACCUCUGUGUACCCCUCUGAGAACUUCAGCCAGGGACAGGGAGAAGUACAUACGAAUCUCACACCACGGAGCCACAUGGGUCUGUCACGCUGCAUCCUGCCUGGGCUGUCACGUCCUGUGGGACACCAGGGGAUACACCCUGGGUGCUAGUGGGCUUGUGGCACCAAAAUGCCCGGGGCCUGAUGAGGGUCCUGGGGGCUCCUGGCGUCUCCAGAAGGGUCCCAACUGUCCCCAGGGACUGACCUGAGGGGUAGUGGAAAACCAGGAUGAAGGUUCACUUUCCCCAUUCCCCUGUGUUGUGGCAAAGGGGAAAGGUUUUGUGAAGAGCACAGUGGUGUUGGAUUCUGUUCAUAAAGAUUCUAGACCUCGGUUCCCUUCCCGUAUCCAAAUUAGAAUGAAAGAUAGUAUUAACAAUUCAUCUUUUGAGGAAGAACCUCUGAGCACUUGUAACUGGCAGUGCUUUGAUAUUCUAGGUAACCUGUUCCAUAAGGAGUGCUGGGUGAUGCUGACUGAUACUGUCAAUUGUGAGCAUGCUCCACAGAAAGUUUCCCUCUGUGGGAGUGAGGAAACAAAAUGUGGUGAUUCAGUACUGUGGGGUUAUUAUGGGGUUACUAGAGUCUAGGAUUCUAGAGUCUGAGGAUUCUAUGAAUUGAUUAUUGGAGGAUUCUAUGAGGAUGCUAUGAGGAUACCAGCUCCUGUGAUUAUAAGUUCUGUUAUUUCAGAUUCUGUGAUCGUUUCAUGAUUCUAGAUUCCUUGACUCUGUGAUGAUUCUGGGCUUCAGUUGUGUGGUGAUUCUGAUUCCUCACUAAGAGUAUAGAUUCCCAGACUUGUAGCUACGCAAUACGAUGCGUUUCCAUCUCCACUCCUGUGCAUAGUGUGUGGCAUAGUUCUGAGUGCCUGACACAGCCCAAGCAAAAUCAAUUUCUGUAGGUUAUUACUAAAUAAAUAAAUAAAUCAAUAAAUUUCUUGCUUUAGUUUCUGCUCCCUGAUCCAUUUAUUUAUGUUCUCCCUUGCUUCAUAUGUAACUUCCAAACUUGGCAUUUUGCAGAUAAUACCUUUUCCCCCUUUCGUCCUUUGGUGGCCCCUAAUGGUCUCUUCUUUCUCAGUUAGAACAGUUGUCAUGAGCCUAUUCAUAUAGGAAUUUGGGACUGGAGUUCACUCCGUGACUCUUAUCAUAGUUGAUGUCCCUAGUUGCUAUCGUGCAGACUUCACCAAUUUAUAACAGAUGGAUACAGCUACGAUAUACACUCCUAAGAGGGAAGCAGGAAUGUAUAUUUAUUGAUGUAAUGUAGAUAUGCUGUAGUGAUAUGACAGUGACUUAACAAGACUGGAGAUGGCUGGAUACACUUGGUUAUUUUCCACAUAGAGGGCAGGAUUAAACACACACCUACAGGACGCUCUCCUGCUGUGUCAUGAGGAUCAGAGCAGACCCCGUUGCUGUCUGAACUCUUCAAACCACAGAGAUCACAGCAGUGUGAGUCUGACUGCGUCAGCGGAAGAGCUGCCUUCAUGGAGGUGCAGGUGCAGUCGGCCGUUGUGGAAUUCAUCCUGAACCACACUCUUCCACUCCAAAUCCAGCCCAGUCAUUGGAGAUGGAGGAGGAGAUGAACUUGGUGCUCCCUUUCCGGAUGAUCGUUUGGAUCCGGAUUUUGUGCCUGUGCCUCUGGGACAACCCAGAGGCCCUGCUGGUGAAUCAGCAGAACAGAAUCCUGCCUCUGAGCCUGAAGGGAAUGCUGGAGAUGUGACUGGAGGAGGUGAUCCAGGUUCCGCUCUGAGCUCUGGGACUGAAACUCCGGCAGAUCGCAUGGGAGUGCCCCCAGGGAGGGCUUUGCCCGGUCAUGUGUUUCCUCCUGCGCUGGAGCCCAGCUGGAAUCCCAGCGGUCCGGAAAAAGGAAAGGAUGAACCCAAAAGAGGAGAAUACUCCCAGGGCUCAUCCCGUCUCCUCAAGGAACUGGUGAAGGAAAUGGAGAAGGCAGCGCGUGGAACUGACCAACAAAGUGAGCAGGAUGCACUGCAGGAAGGCAGCCAUCCCACACUGCCAGUCUCGGGCAGAGGAACGCAGGCAGCGCCAACAACUGUCAUGCCAGGGAUGAAUGCCGGGACGAGCACAAAGGCUGCUGUUGGCAGAUCUGCGCGAAGGCGCCACAUCGCAGCGAUGGUACUGUUCUCAGCUGUGCUGCUGUCUGCGCUGGUGCUGGCCUGUGGUGCUGUGAUAUGGAUGUGCCAAAAAUACGUAGUGUGCAAGAGAGAAGAGAGAGCAGCAGAGCAGGCUCAUCCUGAUACCAACUAGGAAAGAGUUCCAACUGGAGACGAGGGCAGAACGGAGCUGGGAGAGGCAGCCGAAGAGACUCUUGCCCCAUCAAAGAAGAAUCUCAGCCAUCGUCCCAGUGCAUUCCAUUCUGCCAUCCAAGAGGCCAAAGGUCUUCAAAGUCAUCUGGAAGACUUGGAGCUUGAACUCAAAGCCGUGAAAGAGGUCCACGGGAACAGUCCUGAGUGCUGCUUUCUGUCAGGGGACGGCCCUGAAAGUGAGAGUGGAGAACCAGCAGCAGAGCUUUUGUCCUUCACCCUGCAUUCUCUGGGACAAGCAUCAGCAACAUUUCAAAGAUUCUUAGCUCGGCACAGCUACAAUCCUGUUGAGGGUCCUAAUGAGGAGCCAGAAAGCGAGCUUCCUCUGACCGCUGGACAACACCUUAACGUCUUUGGAGCUGUGGAUGAGAAUGGCUGGUUUCAGGGAGAGCUGACAGAUGGCACAAGAGGACUGGUCCCAUCCAAUUUGGUUGCGGAGGUUUCAGAUGAUGAACUGGAUACAACGAUGCCUCCGGAGCUCUGUGCUCUCCUGCUGGAUACUUGAUGAAUAAGUGGAUGCAGAGAUUCCAUCAUGCAGCAACAUCCUGUCAAAAUUCCUGCGUUACUCCAUCUGCAAGACUACCCCCUGCUCCACUUGAUGUUCAGGUGGAGUGUGUGCAGGACGUGGAUGAGCUCCUUUGGGAACACUCUGAGGUGACUGACAGUGUAACUGCAUAGUCUUGUGGUAUAUUAAACAAACAAACAAACAAACACCACCCACAAUAAAACAAACAACCAACCAACCCAAAAAGCGCUGCUCUUUUUCUUGGAUACACUGAGGUGAUCCUUUUUCUAGCUGAGACUUUGCAAUGAGUCUUGAAGCAGAUUUGAGCCGGUAGAAGUUGGCAGUGUCUGCAUUCCGUUCUCCUGAUUUCCUUGCUGGUCAGAGUUAAGGUGCCAUGCAUCCAUUCCCCAGCCCUAGCUGUCUCCUGAAUCAUGAGAACAGCCUUUCCAUAUUGUGGAAAGAACUGGAGUGGAUUCACGCUGAAGGACAAGAUGCUUGCAGACACGUAAGCUCAAGAAGAGAAUGCAGAGUCCACGGAAACUCGCUGCCAAACAACGAUGAGAAAGUAGAAUAGGCUCCUGUUGUUGAAGAUGGGACGGUGAAACAGAUGUCUCAGCUCAACACAACGCCAGUAGGAGCUGGUUCGGGCUACCCCCCCUUAAAAGGUCGGAAGUUCACAGCGAGGUAGACUACGAGCCUUCAUCCACUGACCGCCAGAGACCCCCACCACAUUUUUAGGACGCGUGCUCAAGAGGGUGGGACAAUACGUUAAUAGUUUCUCAGAAUUCCAGCCCAUUUUUGUGGAACGUAAUGAAUAUGUGGAUGUUAUGUCUGUAAGUAUGUAACCAGUGCUUUUCUCUGUGUGCGAGUUAGGAGGAGAUAUCCCCCCCCGCACCCGGCGCCGUAAUGAGCGUACCUGCUUUGUAACCUUACGUGGGUUCCAGAGUUUGAUUCCACACGUCACUCCCUUCACUAUUAAGAGGACAAAGAACUUCUGGCACAGAAGGAUGCCCAC
ensembl:lncRNA